rnacentral:SRP_RNA from 1 species
GCCGGGCAUGGUGGCUCACGCCUGUAAUCCCAGCACUUUGGGAGGCCGAGACGGGUGGAUCACUUGAGCUCAGGAGUUCAAGAUCAGCCUGGGCAACAUGGUGAAACCCCGUCUCUU